rnacentral:lncRNA from 1 species
CAACUAGUUAUCUCGGGUAGGAAAGGGAGUCUGCCAUUACAGGAUUUCAGGCUUACUUUUACUUCUUGGAUUCUUACUUUAAUGCCUAUGAGAUGGUCACUUCCUCCCUUAAGUCUAACUCCACCGGGUGCCAAGCCUUAUUCGCCAACAGCCCGAGCCUUAACUCCACCUUGAUAAUUCUGUGUUUCACCCUUGAGUUUGCC